UCUCAUUUUGUAUGAUACACUUCUCUAAUUAUUUUUCUUAUUAUCAUCCAAUGUUAUUGUUGUUAUUCAAUAACGUUAUAUACAUCAUAUAUUAUGCUCAAAGAUGGAUAUAUAAUAUUUAGAUAUCAAUUAUUAAAAUGAAAGCAUAUAUCAUACAUCAUAUUAUAUCAUGUCAUCUAACAUUAUAUAAUUCUAAAUAUUUACAAAAUCAAAUUUAAUUAAAAAACACUUUAGCAAAUCAUUUGUUAAAACAAAAUUAUAUAUAUUUACGUUAAAUUAUUUUUUAUUAUAUUAAUAUAUUAGAAGUUGGGGAAUUGCCACUAAUACCACUUUCCUAAUACCACUUUUCAACUUUACACUUUUCAAAUUUACCAUUAAAAUUUUAAUGGCUAAAGUACCAUUAUACCCCUCAUUUCAUUAAUUUAACCUAGAUCUAUUCUUCUCCAAAUGUUUGUCACGAGAUGAAAAUGAGAUCAAAUUGAGACGAGCUCCAACGAGAUCUCCGGCAAACUCGGCGAUCUCCGGCGAAUUCGGCGAUCUCCGGCGAACUUGGCGAUCUCCGGCGAACUCGACGAUCUCCGACGAACUCGACCGGAUUGGGAGAGCGUGGCGGCGAGUAGAUAUCCCGCCGUUCUUCCGCCGGCAUUAUGUAGUCGUAGUAACCCUCCGAUGCUAAAUCGGUCACGUUCGUCACGAAUCGCAUGCCGAGAAGUUCUCCGGCAAAGCUGACAGACUCGACAAGCUUAGACGAACGAGACGAUCUCUCUCCCAACGCCUAAGAAACACUAACAAAGAGAAUUACAAAUGUGUGUUGUCAGCUUUUGGAUUUAAAGGAUGUUGUGGAGAAUAUGUGUGGUGAUAUGCAUAUCUAAGUAUCUCACUUCCUUAAGAUUUUGAAAAUUUACGAGGUUGGUGAGCUGUUUGAAGAGGCAAGAGAGACUCUGAAGAAGAAUGUGGUUUGUGCUAUCAAAGAAUUACGUAUUUAUAACGCUUUAUAAAAGUUGCAGAGUUGGCUUCUUAGUACAUUCUUCUCUCUCAUCUUAUUUAGACAUCUCUUAUACUAAAAUAAUUGUAUCUCUCUUUUAGUAGUUGCAUAGUUGAAGAUAUUAGUUGGACAUGUAAGUGAGUUUGGUUUCAAUUGUUUCUUUUAUAGAAGAGUGAGAUAUGGAGAAGCCUUGAUGUU